GGAUGUGAGGGUGAUCUAGUUGUGACAUCUGUCACCCCACUGAUCACCAGGGAUGAUUUGGCUGAUCUGGCUAGCUAGGUGGGUGUCCCCUCCCUUCCUCUCUGCUUCAUGUGAGUCCCUCCAAAAGCUGCCCGCUUGGCAGAAGAGGACGAACUUCUCCGAAUAGAGGAGGACUGGUCUUCGGUCAUGGGUACAUGUACAUGAGUAACUACGCUCCCCUGACAGAACCACCAGACCAGCUCUCAAAUAAAUACUAUUUUUAAAAGAAAUUCUUCUAGCUCUAUAUAAGUGAAGUACUAAGCAUAACAUGCUCUUAGAAUAUUAUCCAAACACUGGGUAAAGCUUCAUU
rnacentral:snRNA from 1 species